GCCUAAUACAUGCAAGUCGAACGGAAAAUAUAGAAGUGCUUGCACAUUUAUAUUUUUAGUGGCGAACGGGUGAGUAAUAUAUAGAUAACCUACCUUCCAGUUGGGGAUAACAGAGGGAAACUUCUGCUAAUACCGAAUAUGAUAAAGAAACACAAGUAAUUUUAUUGAAAGGGGCUCCAAAGCCCCGCUAGAAGAGGGGUCUAUAUCGCAUUAGCUAGCUGGUAAGAUAACAGCCUACCAAGGCGAUGAUGCGUAGCUGUACUGAGAGGUAGAACAGCCACAUUGGGACUGAGAUACGGCCCAAACUCCUACGGGAGGCAGCAGUAGGGAAUUUUCGGCAAUGGGGGGAACCCUGACCGAGCAAUGCCGCGUGAUUGAAGACGGUCUUCGGACUGUAAAGAUCUGUUAUUAGGGAAGAAUUUUUACUUUAGGAAAUGGAAGUAAAUUGACGGUGCCUAAUGAGGAAGCCCCGGCUAACUAUGUGCCAGCAGCCGCGGUAAUACAUAGGGGGCAAGCGUUAUCCGGAAUUAUUGGGCGUAAAGGGUACGUAGGCGGGCUUGCAAGUCUGAUUUGAAAGCACAUGGCUUAACCAUGUGAGGUAAUUAGAAACUACGAGUCUAGAGAGUGGUAGAGGUAAAUGGAAUUCCAAGUGGAGCGGUGAAAUGCGUAGAGAUUUGGAGGAACACCAGUGGCGAAGGCGGGUUACUGGGCCACAUCUGACGCUGAUGUACGAAAGCGUGGGGAGCAAACAGGAUUAGAUACCCUGGUAGUCCACGCCGUAAACGAUGAGGGGAUAAGUAUCGGGGGAUUUCGGUGUUUAAGCUAACGCAGUAAGCACCUCCGCCUGGGGAGUACGGUCGCAAGACUGAAACUCAAAGGAAUUGACGGGGACUCGCGUAAGCGGUGGAGCAUGCGGUUUAAUUCGAUGCAACGCGAAGAACCUUACCAGGUCUUGACAUCCCACUGAUCGGGCUAGAGAUAGCUCUUCCCUUCGGGGCAGUGGAGACAGGUGGUGCAUGGUUGUCGUCAGCUCGUGUCGUGAGAUGUUGGGUUAAGUCCCACAACGAGCGCAACCCUUAUCAUUAGUUGCUAACAUUAAGUUGAGGACUCUAAUGAGACCGCCGGUGAUAAACCGGAUGAAGGUGGGGAUGACGUCAAAUCAUCAUGCCCCUUAUGACCUGGGCUACACGCGUGCUACAAUGGCUAGUACAAAGAGUUGCGAUACCGCGAGGUGGAGCUAAUCUCAUAAAACUAGUCUCAGUUCGGAUUGUAGUCUGCAACUCGACUACAUGAAGUAGGAAUCGCUAGUAAUCGCAAAUCAGAAUGUUGCGGUGAAUACGUUCUCGAGUCUUGUACACACCGCCCGUCA
rnacentral:rRNA from 1 species